ACGGGGGGUGCAAGCGUUGUUCGGAAUCAUUGGGCGUAAAGCGCGUGUAGGCGGCUUGACAAGUCAGAUGUGAAAGCCCUGGGCUUAACCCAGGAAGUGCAUUUGAAACUGUCUCGCUAGAGUAAGGGAGAGGAAAGUGGAAUGCCUGGUGUAGAGGUGAAAUUCGUAGGUAUGAGGAGGAACGGCGAUGGCGAAGACGACUUUGUGUCCCUAUACUGAUGCUGAGACGCGAAAGCGUUGGUAUCAAAUAG
rnacentral:rRNA from 1 species